UAAGGAAUAUUGCUCAAUGGGAGAAAUCCUGAAGCAGCAACGCCGCGUGGAGGAUGAAGGGUCUAUGACUUGUAAACUCCUGUAAAGAAGGAAAAAAUUCCCAUUUGAUGGGAGAUGAUGGUACUUCUGGAGUAAGCCCCGGCUAACUACGUGCCAGCAGCCGCGGUAAUACGUAGGGAGCAAGCGUUGUUCGGAUUUACUGGGCGUAAAGGGCGCGUAGGCGGCGCGGUAAGUCACUUGUGAAAUCUCUGAGCUUAACUCAGAACGGCCAAGUGAUACUGCUGUGCUAGAGUGCGGAAGAGGCAACCGGAAUUCUUGGUGUAGCGGUGAAAUGCGUAGAUAUCAAGAGGAACACCGGAGGCGAAGGCGGGUUGCUGGGCCGACACUGACGCUGAUGCGCGAAAGCCAGGGGA
rnacentral:rRNA from 1 species